rnacentral:rRNA from 1 species
AUUGAACGCUGGCGGCAGGCUUAAAACAUGCAAGUCGAGCGAGCGGCGGACGGGUGAGUAAUGUCUGGGAAACUGCCUGAUGGAGGGGGAUAACUACUGGAACCGGUAGCUAAUACCGCAUACCAUCAGAUGUGCCCAGAUGGGAUUAGCUAGUAGGUGGGGUAAUGGCUCACCCAGGCGACGAUCCCUAGCUGGUCGGAGAGGAUGACCCGUCACACUGGAACUGAGACACGGUCCAUACUCCUACGGUAGGCAGCAGGGGGGAAUAAUGCACAAUGGGCGCAAGCCUGAUGCAGUCAUGCCGCGUGUGUGAAGAAGGCCGUCGGGUUGUAAAGCACUUUCAGCGAGGAGGCGUUACUCGCAGAAUAAGCACCGGCUAACGCCGUGCCAGCAGCCGCGGUAAUUC